CCCGGCCGCCUCCCCACGCCAGGCCGCGGCUCGGGCGCGGCCUGCAGGGGGCUCUGGGCCGGCCCCGCCGCCGCUCGCCGGGACCUUCCGGGGCGCCCACCUGUUCCUCGGGCCCGGCGGCCGCUCCGGCCGCGGCCGGGGGCACCCCGGGCUGCGGGAACGCCAGGAGGGCUCCGGCGGUGGCUGCGGGGCUCUGGAGCUGCUCCAGCACCGAGCAGCCUCGGUCUUCGCUUUUAUCCCUUCCUGCAGCGCCGUAAUGAGCUUAUGGGCUCCUUCUGGGAUGUGCUGUAAGCACAGAAGUCAGCGUGUAUUUUACCUUUCUCCGCUUAGGUGUUUAUUACUGUGAGAGGACUGCAGGGCCCUCAAUCUGUCCAGUUUUGGAGUCUUAGAUCAGCAGUCACCGCCGCAGGACGCCAAGGUGGGUCUGUCUUGGCCAUCUGCAGUUUGUGGGGGCAGCCUCUGGUCCAUCAGGCUGAAUGUGAACGUGUUAUUUUAGGGGCUGGGGUGUGUGAAAUGGUGCUUUGGUUCCAUUAAAGUCAAAGUUGCUCCUGUCUGAACAAGUGCUUUUUUGUGAUAGACCUGCAUCAAAGUGCUGAAGUAGCUAAUAAAGUUAUUGUCACUUGGAACCCCUCCUGGAGCAGCCUGCCCUGUGUCAUGGGGACUGAAGAAAAAUCUCUCUGGCCUUGUAGGUUCUGUCGAACCCCUUGGGCUGGGCAUCUGUGGGGAGUAGCAGUGUUACACAUUGGAGUAACAGUAACAAAUCCUGGUGGUAAUUGUGGACUGUUAAAUGUCAGCGUUGUCUGAGUUUGCAGUACUUUAACAUGGAUCUUGCUGAAAUGUCAGUUAGUGCACUUCAUGAAUCCUGUUUGCUCUGAGCUCUCUUUCUGUGGCUGCAGAUUUUUCACUCUACGUGAGACCGAGUGCCAACCUACUUUAAUAAAAUUCUAGCAGAUCUGUGGUGUCUUUUGACUUCAGAACUGUCAGCUACUGUUGUUACCCUAAUUUUGGUGUUUGUCAGACACUGUGGCUGUGCACAACUAAGCAGCCAGAAAGCCAGUUUUGUGAUGGAUACUCUUCCCUUUCUCCACACGCUGAUGUUUCAGGAUGCUCUUGUGAGAGGACCCAAAGUAACCAGGCAGCUCCCUGCAAGGGGAGGCCAGAUCUCCCAACAGGUCAGUAGCCCCUUAAGUUUAGGAGUGAUGUAUGUUAAAUUAUAAUUCUACAUACUUGAUACUUAUCCAGGGCAAUAAUUGGUGGCAGAAAAAUCAGCUCAUUGUUCCAAAGUGCCUGUAGGCAGGGUCUGUCUUCCAGUUUAACCUUUUCUUGGAGGAGAGCAGAGGUGGUGUAGCUGAGGUUCAUUGUGCAGGCUGAGAGCUCAGACUCUGGGCUCCAAAGCACAUGGAAUAUGUGGUGGUGUUGAUUGUUCACCACCUGGCACAUCACUGCAUAGAGGGAAGAAAAACUUAAAUUUUGAACAUGCUUAAAAAGCAGAUUUUGAGUUUAAUCACACUUGGGCACCAUCAUAUGAGUACAAGAAGCUGCUCUGCUGUUUUUCUGCUGGGAGAGUCAGUGGAGCCAUGAGCUGCUGUGCCUGCAGGGACUCAUGGAAGUCUCCAGCUACUUUCUGCUGGCUCUUAGAACCUUCUCCUGACAGAAUUAGUUGUGUUCAAACCUACAGCAGACAUUGUUGUCACUGACUUCCUCAUUUAUCAAGAAGGUCAAGCUUGGAGGCCUAGAUUUAAUUCAAGCUUUUCAGUGUAGUUGGUGUGUGUGUGUUUCUGGAGAGGCUGAAAGCUUCACCAGUAGUGUCAGGUGGGCAAAACCAGUCCAGUUCUGUGGAGCUGAGGAGGGAGGAGAUGGUUCUUCAUGGUGUUUUACUGUAGGAUCUGUAUAUUUAAGCUUCACUUAAAUUCCUAACACAAGCUGCCAUUGUGGAUAUUUAUUCCUGAGUGGUUAGUUAGAUCUUGGUCAACUCACAGGUCAUGAUAAAAAAAAAAAAAACAGGACAUAAGUUUCUCUACCUCUGUUGGGUUGAACUGGUCAAAAUAAUCAUUUCCCCAAGCUUGCAGAACCUGCUGGCCUCAGGAAAUCAUCUCCUGUGCUGAUUGUUCAUCUCCAGCUGCUCCAUAAAGCCCUGCUGACUCGGGAGCAAUACUGAAUUUACACAUGUUUAGCACUUGAACCUCCUCUAGUAAUUGCUGCAGAAUAUAUUUAUAACUUAGUUUCUCACACUUAGAGGUUACCUGUGUAAAUUCUGAACUAUUUCAAAGGAGACCUAUACGAAAUAAGCUAUUUUUAAAAGAACUUACAUCAUCCUAGAAGCCACCCGGGAUGUCUGGUAUUGUGUCUUCAUUUAUUCAGCCUUUUCUCCUCGAGGAAACAUAUGGGCAAAUCACUUCUGCUCCAUGACCUAAGCACUGAGUACCAGCAUCACUUUCCUUCCAAGGCUUCUGUGAGAACAUAGCAGGAGGUGGAGGAGAGCAGGAGUUCUGUUCUGUGAGGUCUGACAGGGGACAUGUUCCUUGAUUCUGGUGGGAACAAGGCUGAGAAGCCACCCCUUCCACCCAGCAGAAUUCCUUUGCCUUGGUAACUUGUGCUCUUUGCUCCUGGGGGAGUUUAUUCCCUGAUGUCAGGAGUAAUGGGAAAUGUUGGUUUUUGCUCUGUGGACAAGCCUGUCGUUUCUAGCCAGCUGCUAGAAUUGUGCUUGCAAUUAAAUGUUCCUCAUGCUGAAUAUGUAGCAAUCUGUUCCUGUUUUUAAAUAUUAGAUAAUAACUUCAUUAUUUGCCAUUAGUACCCCUCUGUGACACAAACCCAGCUUUGGUUUGAGUAACAGCCUGCAUUGUGUGCUCCCCGUGAGGUUGGGCUUGGCUCUAGCUCAGGCUGUGGUUCAUGCACUACCUCAGCUGGGCUUGCUGCACAGACCUUCAGGAGUGGUCCAUGGCCUGAAUUAUUAAUAAUUAAUUGUCCUGUGUGUUGGAAUAUGUUGGGUGGUGCAUCGGCAUGGGCUGAUCUCCCAGCUGGCACAAGUUGCAUGGCUAAAGAUGCUUCUGUGGCUGUUUUCUCUGUUGGUUGUUUUACCAAGCUGCUGGAGGCACAACUCCCCUCACCAGUGGUACAGGUGCUUCCCAGCAGUGUCUUCAGAAGGUGCAGGGCACUGCUGUAAUAAUAUAAAUAUAGAAAGCAGGGGAAGCUGGUGCUUCACUUCCUGAGGGUCCCAGUGAUUUCUUUGGGUGCAGGAAGUGUUACGUGUGGGCGAAAGUAGACUAGGAAUGGCUCUUGCUUGAGCUUUAUCCUUUUCUGUGAGCCCUAAUGAGCUUAGCAGUUUUGAGGGAGGUGCAGAGAACCUGUUGUACCUCUUGCCCUCUUUGUCCCUUUCCUCACUUGCAGCUCAUCUUGUUUGGAGCAGUCUCACAUUUUGUGCAGGACGGCAGCAGGUCGUUCCAGGUGUGUGACAAAAUGCAGAGGGUUCAGGAGCAUUUUCUAAUGUGCAAGGUCUAAAGUGGUGUUAUCAUGUCAAACUUUAGUUUCAGAUAAAGAUUUGGGCCUGAUGGAGAGAGUCCCAUUGCAUUCAGGUUUUUUAUAAUAACUUUAAAUGAGGUCUGUGUCUCUUAGUGCUCUUUAUUACAAACACUUGGAUUCACUUGAAUUCACUGUGUGGGGGUGAUGGUGCCGUUGGUUUGAAUAUUGUAUGUCCACUUCUUUCUGAAACAGCUUAUUUAGUUUGGUGGCAGUGCAGGCUGUCACUUCUUGAGAGGGGUUGUAAGGCUGGAGGUUUAAAAACUUUCAAUUUGUGCAGUGUCCCUUGCAGCAGUGAGACCAUUGUGAACUUUGAGGCUUCUAAGACAAAAUCUGAGUGAACAGAGAUAUCAGAGAGUUUAAAUUGUGGGGUCAAAGCAAGGGGAAUGCCAAACUGCUUUUUAGUUGUUAAUUCCUUGAAACUCCCCAGGUUGCAGUGAUGAUGGCACUAGUCAUUUGCUCUGAAGCUCUAAUUUGAGUGUUUGUUUCAGCAGCAGUGACAAUUUAAAUAACACCCACUUCUUAUUCCUGCUACACACACCCAUCUAAUGUGUACAGGAUGGUGUGGUGAACUGAACCGAGGAAUUGAUCAGGAUUUAAAGAAGAAAAAUGCAAUAUAUGGAUCUUUUCCCAGGUAGUUUUUGAUGUAGCUCAAUUAUUUGAUAAAACUUCUGGUGCAUCACAAAUAGUUUUGGCAGCAGAAUUGGGACUUAAAGUGUUUAAGUGAGUUUGGAAGCAGAAACAGCAUCCUGUGAGGGUGGGGAGGGACACAGGGUGCCCAGAGCAGCUGUGGCUGCCCCUGGAUCCCUGGCAGUGCCCAGGGUCAGGUUGGACAGGGCUUGGGGCAGCCUGGGACAGUGGAAGGUGUGGGAGGGGAAUGGAAUGGGAUGGGCUUUAAGGUCCCUUCCAACCCAGCCCAGUCUGUGAUUCCAGGAGGAGUGGAAUGUUGCUGCUUCCUGGGUGCUUCCCUGCUGCCUUGGGACCUGGCAGGAAGGAGGUGUUGUCACCUGGAAAAGUUAACCACAGCUGUCUGGGUUUUUUGAGGAGACAGUGGCUGCCUCAUGGUCAAGUUUCACUUGCAGAGCCUUUUUUGUUGCUGUCACUUGUGCGUGGUUCACAGAUGUCUGGAAUUAUCCUGUGUUUGUGGGCAUGCAGCAGUACAGGGGCUCUGAAUGUGUCCAGGAAUAAGUGCUGGGGAACAUCUUCACAGCCAGACCAGGAGGAUGCUCCUGAGUUGUAAGUCAUGAGUGAGCUCUGCAACUCAAGAGUAAACCACCACCUUCCACUAAAGGCUGUGUGGACAAUGCUCCAAAUUAUCAAAAAUUGGGUUGGUUUGGCUUGAACCUCUGUGCUUACACCAGCUGAGGCUGCCAGUGGAGCUGAUAGAGCUGCUAGAAUCGUGUCCCCACCUCCAGCUGUUCUGUUCCCUCCCUUGUGGUGACCCAACCAAGGAACUCACCUGGCCAAACCCUACCUGAACAGGGGCUCCUCAGGGACCCCUUUCCAUGCCCCAGCUCCUCCUGGGCUCGGAGAGGUGGCAGAUCUGGCACAGAGUUGGGGAAUUGUGUGGCAAGGAGAGGUGACAGUGGGGUGGUGGCAGCUCAGGCUAUCCUAGAGCAGUUUGAACCCCCUCACAUUGUCAGACUGGGUCAUCAUAGGGGAUCAUUAAAGAGCUUUUUAAAUCCAAAUGAUAAAACUUUGCAGCAAACACCCGUCUGCACGUGCUGUACGUGGGUCCUUGGUGGGAAACAAACACUGAAUGCUCAGAGGCUGCAGGGAAAGAACUCAUUAACACAUUUUUAUUGGUGUAGCCAUGAAACAGCUCCUCAAUGGAAGAACCAACUUUUUGUAGGUACUAUAAAUAUGGGGAAUAACCUCUGGCAGUCACCAGGAGCCACAGCUUGGAACUGGCAGCUGGUGAGGCUCCUUCCAGGAGAGAAGUGCUGGAACAAACUUCCCAGGCAGCAGAGGACCUGUGGCUGGUGCUUCCUGAGUUGCUCCAUUUGGGGAUGUUCUGGACCCUGUGUGAGGCCAUUUGAGUGCACCUUGGCACACCUUGAAGCCAAGAGAGCAGGGAGCUGAGCAGGCCAUCCUGGCAGGGCUGGAACUGGAUGGGAUGGGCAUGGGAUCCAGCUGGAUCAGCUCCUGCUGCCAAGGCACUGACAACAGCAGGGGCCAGAGGGAAAACACUCCAAAGCUCCCACAUGGAGAGGGACCCAACCUGUGCCUUAGGAAAUAGAAGACUUUCAGCUUAGGCUGUGUUUCAGAAGUCUGGGGUUGGGCUGAGAAUUCCAGUUUGUCUUUUUUGGGGGGAUUUUGUCUGGUAAGUUGAGGUGAGCCCAGUUUAGGGGUGGUGAGGUGUGCGUGGUUGCCUCUCUUUGGGGUUUUGCUGUGGCCACAUGACACAGCAGCACUGUCAUCCUGGCACCUUUGGCUCCUGAUCAAAGUAGCUCCACUGCAGCUGAAGCUUUCUCUCCUUGUGAGAUCCUUUCCCAGUUUCUUCAAGAAGCUGCUGCAGGUGACAAUUAGUGUUUCUUUUUUUUUCAGGAACCACAAAAGUUUCAGGAGAGGGGAAGGAGGAAUUGAUUCUGCCUGCUGCAGAAGUUUGAUGUUAGUCAAGGUUCAUUGCUUUUAAGGCAUAGUUACUCCAAUACAUUAGGCUUGGAGUUAAAAUUAAUGUCAGUGUAGUUUUUUUACAUAAAAACAUGUCUGUUUUGGCUGAUAAUAUUUUGCUGCUAUCUCUUCUCACCAGUUAUGUGCAUGGUGAUAACACCAAAUAUACUCCCUAGGUCUGUAUAAUGUGGUAGGACGUAGCCCCACUUUUACACGUGGUCUUUAAAGAAAUAAUUUAAGGUAAAGAUCCAUAACAUGGUGGCAGUGCUGGAAGUGAUCUCCAGCCUGGAGAAAUAUCCCAUUACCAAAGAGGCACUUGAGUCUGGUCUGUGUUCUCCUUUGAAGUACUGUUUCUUAAGAAAUCUGACUUGUGGAACAGUUCUUUGUUUUCAAAUGUGCUUUGGGAACAAUCAAACACUUCCUUCCGCUCAUGAAACCUCCUUGGGACACCCUGGGAAUGUGUUUAAAUGGCUUUUUCAUACGUUUCCACGAGGCUGAGGAGUGAAGGGAGAGGAGAGAGGUGGAGAAAAAAGGUAGGACACAACUCACACCUGGUAGUCAGGUUUGUUAAAUGGAAAUUUUUAUUGUUAACAAGUUACUGUAACAGGCAAAGAUCCUGGAAUUCUUUUCUUUUGGCUCUCUGCAGAUCUUAAACUUCCCUUGUGAUAAACACACCUUUGGGUGCUGUAUUUCUCCUCGAAUCUGUGCCUGUACCCUUAUUCUGUUUUUUUCUCAUUAAAGAAUUCCUUUCUGAUGUUUUUCCCAGCUCUCCUGCUUUUACCAGGGGAUAAAGACAGCAUGACUUGAAACCUACAGUCAGUUUCAUGUUGUGUGGCAGAGCACUGGACUAAUCCUUUCCAAAAAGAUUAAUUCAACACUUAAAUCUUUAGUGUUUUUAACCAGGUGUUUCUCAGGGGUGAGCAUUACAAAGCAGAAACAUUCCUUAAGAAUUUUGCUUGGAAUCAUACUUGUUUGUAAACCACCUUGUCUGUCUUUGUAGGAAACCAGACUCGGGAGGCUUAUCAAUGAGGUGAGGAAGAAGACAUCCAAUGAGGAACUUGCCAAACGUGCCAAGAAAUUGCUGAGGAAUUGGCAGAAGUUGAUAGAACCCGUAACCCAGAACGAGCCAGUGCCAAGGGGGC